rnacentral:rRNA from 1 species
CCUACGGGUGACAGCAGUGGGGAAUAUUGCGCAAUGGGCGAAAGCCUGACGCAGCGACGCCGCGUGAGGGAUGAAGGUCUUCGGAUCGUAAACCUCUGUCAGCAGGGAAGAACGGUCACGGGGCUAAUCAGCAGUGAAUUGACGGUACCUGCAAAGGAAGCACCGGCUAACUCCGUGCCAGCAGCCGCGGUAAGACGGAGGGUGCGAGCGUUAAUCGGAAUUACUGGGCGGAAAGCGCUCGUAGGCGGUAUGUCAAGUCAAGGGUGAAAUCCCCGCGCUCACCGUGGGAACUGCCUUUGAAACUGGCAAGCUGGAGUUUGUUCGAGGUUAGUGGACUUCCCGGUGU